UACGUAGGGUGCGAGCGUUAAUCGGAAUUACUGGGCGUAAAGCGUGCGCAGGCGGUUUUGUAAGCCAGAUGUGAAAUCCCCGGGCUCAACCUGGGAAUGGCAUUUGGGACUGCAAGGCUGGAGUGCGGCAGAGGGGACUGGAAUUCCUGGUGUAGCAGUGAAAUGCGUAGAUAUCAGGAGGAAUACCGAUGGCGAAGGCAGGUCUCUGGGCUGACACUGACGCUCAUGCACGAAAGCGUGGGGAGCAAACAGG
rnacentral:rRNA from 1 species